rnacentral:rRNA from 1 species
UGCCCAGACUCCUACGGGAGGCAGCAGUGGGGAAUAUUGCACAAUGGGGGGAACCCUGAUGCAGCGACGCCGCGUGGGUGAAGGAGCACCUCGGUGCGUAAAGCCCUAUCGGCAGGGAAGAAACAGACGGUACCUGACUAAGAAGCCCCGGCUAACUACGUGCCAGCAGCCGCGGUAAUACGUAGGGGGCAAGCGUUAUCCGGAUUUACUGGGUGUAAAGGGAGCGUAGACGGCAGUGCAAGUCCGGAGUGAAAGCCCGGGGCUCAACCCUGGGACUGCUCUGGAAACUGUAAAGCUGGAGUGCGGGAGGGGCAGGCGGAAUUCCUGGUGUAGCGGUGAAAUGCGUAGAUACCAGGAGGAACACCGGCGGCGAAGGCGGCCUGCUGGACCGUAACUGACGUUGAGGCUCGAAAGCGUGGGGAGCAAACAGGAUUAGAUACCCUCGUA